rnacentral:tRNA from 1 species
UCCGGUAUAGUGUAACGGUUAACAUAUCGCGUUUUCAAAAGACUCUUGGAGUCUGAGAAGAUCCGCGGGGCUCGGGGUUCGAUUCCCCGUACCGGAG